GGGAAACUUGGCUGGGAGGACAUGGUGUUGGUUUAAAGACCAAACUCACUUCCUGAGAAGUGGGCAGAGCCGUACGUAGCCUUAGUGAGGCUUGGCUCAAUGCCCAGUCCAGUGGCUUUGGAAUGUGCUAACUUGGCUAGGCUAGACUACAUUUCCCAGAAUUCUUUCUCCCAUGUUUCCAGUUAGGAAGAGCUAGAGGGCUAUUCUCUCAUAAGAGUGGAAGGAGGCAUGGCGGGGGCAGCCAUUUUGCAGCUCAUGGACAGGCUUUGCUGAUCUGCUGACUCGCCCCAUUGACAUGAAGCAGUGGUUGGGCCUGCCACUGCCCUCCCUUCCCCCAGACCUUCCUACCGCUUCUCUGACCCCUGAGCUGGGUGUUUACUUAUUCAGCAACAUGGCACAGGGCCUCAGCUUCUGCAGGAUACCCUCAUCAUCAAGGUGA
rnacentral:lncRNA from 13 species